AAUAAAUCUCUUUCUAAAUUAAACAUGAAAGCAUGUUUCUUGCUAUUAACUGUCUUGUUCUAUUCACAUUUUGUAAUAUGCAGGGACUUUUACCUUGGCAUGUUCAAGAAAAAUGAUUUUCUGGUUGCCCAGGAUGUAAUUUAUAAACCAGCCUCACACUUUGGUGCUACAACUGCGUCAUAUGGGAGAUUAUUCAAAUGUCCUAUAACAUACUUCAGGGUAGUAGACCGUCUAGGCAUGGGCCGAGGACCAUUUACAACAGUUACUCGUGGUGGCCUCCGUAAGAAGUUCAUAACUGUUCGGAUCAAAUCAACGUACAACCUUCCUAUAUCGGUUAACAUAUACGUAGGUUGUGCUAACGAUCUCCCUAAGACCACCAGAAGGAUACGGGUUACAACUGUACAAACUACUGUUGCGGCUAAAAACGAUUCUCAAGGAGGUAGUGAUGCUACUGGUGGAAAUAAAACUGAAGAAGGAGGUGGCGGAGGAGCAGAGUCAGGAAAUGGUACAGCUGCAGAUGACACCGCAACAAUACUACCUGCAACAACACCAGUACCAGAAGCUUCUUAAUUAACCAAUACCAUUGAAUACAGAAUUA